rnacentral:rRNA from 1 species
ACGCUGGCGGCGUGCCUAAUACAUGCAAGUAGAACGCUGAAGAGAGGAGCUUGCUCUUCUUGAAUGAGUUGCGAACGGGUGAGUAACGCGUAGGUAACCUGCCUUGUAGCGGGGGAUAACUAUUGGAAACGAUAGCUAAUACCGCAUAACAAUGGGUGACACAUGUCAUUUAUUUGAAAGGGGCAAUUGCUCCACUACAAGAUGGACCUGCGUUGUAUUAGCUAGUAGGUGAGGUAACGGCUCACCUAGGCGACGAUACAUAGCCGACCUGAGAGGGUGAUCGGCCACACUGGGACUGAGACACGGCCCAGACUCCUACGGGAGGCAGCAGUAGGGAAUCUUCGGCAAUGGGGGCAACCCUGACCGGGCAACGCCGCGUGAGUGAAGAAGGUUUUCGGAUCGUAAAGCUCUGUUGUAAGUCAAGAAUGAGUGUGAGAGUGGAAAGUUCACACUGUGACGGUAGCUUACCAGAAAGGGACGGCUAACUACGUGCCAGCAGCCGCGGUAAUACGUAGGUCCCGAGCGUUGUCCGGAUUUAUUGGGCGUAAAGCGAGCGCAGGCGGUUUGAUAAGUCUGAAGUUAAAGGCUGUGGCUCAACCAUAGUUCGCUUUGGAAACUGUCAAACUUGAGUGCAGAAGGGGAGAGUGGAAUUCCAUGUGUAGCGGUGAAAUGCGUAGAUAUAUGGAGGAACACCGGUGGCGAAAGCGGCUCUCUGGUCUGUAACUGACGCUGAGGCUCGAAAGCGUGGGGAGCGAACAGGAUUAGAUACCCUGGUAGUCCACGCCGUAAACGAUGAGUGCUAGGUGUUGGAUCCUUUCCGGGAUUCAGUGCCGCAGCUAACGCAUUAAGCACUCCGCCUGGGGAGUACGACCGCAAGGUUGAAACUCAAAGGAAUUGACGGG